rnacentral:rRNA from 1 species
AGUGAACGCUGGCGGCAGGCCUAACACAUGCAAGUCGAACGGCAGCACAAGAGAGCUUGCUCUCUGAGUGGCGAGUGGCGGACGGGUGAGGAAUGCAUCGGAAUCUGCCCAUUUGUGGGGGAUAACCUCGGGAAACCGGGACUAAUACCGCAUACGACCUACGGGUGAAAGCAGGGGAUCUUCGGACCUUGCGCAGAUGGAUGAGCCGAUGCCGGAUUAGCUAGUUGGAGGGGUAAAGGCCCACCAAGGCGACGAUCCGUAGCUGGUCUGAGAGGAUGAUCAGCCACACUGGGACUGAGACACGGCCCAGACUCCUACGGGAGGCAGCAGUGGGGAAUAUUGGACAAUGGGCGCAAGCCUGAUCCAGCCAUGCCGCGUGUGUGAAGAAGGCCUUCGGGUUGUAAAGCACUUUUGUUGGGAAAGAAAAGCAGCCGGUUAAUACCCGGUUGUCAUGACGGUACCCAAAGAAUAAGCACCGGCUAACUUCGUG